GUGGUGGAGGAGAAAAGUAUUCAUUAUGGUAGAGCCACUAUAGAGUCUGGGCAGCUCUCUGUGGAAGAUUUCCCAUUGGAGUCUGCACUGAGGUUACAAGAGGUCUUACAGAUUCCAUGAUCACCAGCUGUCUAAGGGAGGAAGCAACAAAAGCAAUCUCAUUGUUUUAUCAAGUAGGGUGGGAUCCAGUCUUUCUAUACAAUACAUGGAUACUAAAUCACUCAAGGUUUAAGAUAUCGAAGGAGGUGAGGGUGAAGGGUUUGAUGAGAGAGUUACUGCAACUACCAAGAAUAGCUCCACAGGUGGGUAAAUAGAACUAUUUACAUUGUGAUUUUUGUAGAAAUGAUGGCUUCCCUUGUUGACACACAGCAGCAGUGGGCUCUCUAGACAUUUAAAAAACAAAAGUUGUACUCUAUAUCUCCUACAGCACCAACUCCUGUCAGACAAUUCGU